CACGGCUAAUUCGCUAGUUUCCUGACUAUAUGAUAGAAGUAAAUGUAAUUGACUGGAAGCACUGGGUGGCGCUAGCCUGGUUAAGAAAAUGGUGAAAUGUGUGAAAGUGUUAAGAGCUAUUUUUUACAACUCAACUGCUUUGUUUAUUUUACAACAUUUGUUUUUGUAGAAGUGCAGCCCACGAAGGGAACAGGAAGACCUCAGCCCUCAGCCUUAAUUCCUUUCAAAGGCAAAGUCUUUCUUCUGCUUACUCAGACCAGAAAAGUUAACACUACAAAGAAAGUGGUUUGUCUGUUUUUGUACAUUUACUUUCACAUCACUCUUGUAGUGUUUGUUACACCUGGGUCCUCAUUUAUUUGGCUUCUGUAUGCAGUCGUGGGCAAGCAGUUAGGGAGUCGGACUUGUAGCCCCAAGGUCACAGGUUCGAUUCUCGACACACUGCCACUCCCAUAACUGGGGUGCCCUGAGCUUGGUAGCGUCCAUAAGCACUGCUCCCUGUGUGCUGUAAUGGCUGCCCCCUGCUCACAUGUGUGAUGGGUUAAAAGCAGAGAAUUUCGUUGUGUGCACGGUGUGCUGUGGUGUGCUGCAAUGACAAUGGGACUUUACACUUACACAAAAAUGAUGCAUGCUCUUUUUUGUGUUUAAUUUGAAGUUUGGAGGAGAUUUUGGAGUGGGUGACUCUUCAGGUGGAUGAUGGUGGUACCUUUUCUAUAGUAGUAUCGAGAGAUGAUCUUUACACGCGCGCGAUGAUGCAGUGGCAGAGGCAAAAAAGAUCCUCUCCAAAACAUAGACUGCGAGUCUCCUUUUUUGGAGAAGAUGGCAUUGAUACGGGCGCCCUCAGCAAGGAAUUUUUCACAGGGCUAUUGUCCUCCACGCUACAACACGCGUGGUUCCAAUGCUGGACCAAUUGAGAAAAGGCAUGGAGCUCUAUAACAUGAAGAAAGUGUUGCAGGCCCAUGCAGACCUGUGUCAGCCUCUUUUUGUCCCAACAGAAGAUGAUGAGGUGGAUGCAGCCUUUCUUCUGGAAAUCUGCCGACUACAGUCUACAGUGACCAAGGCUCUAUAAGGUACAGUCGGGAGGUCACCGAUAUGAACAAUCUCCAAGAUUUCCUCCAAGAGAUCGAGGAUUGUGAUGAUGGCCAACUGACUGUUCCAAAAGUGAUGCAGUGGCUGACGGGACAGGCACACAAGCCGGUCUUACCCAGCAAGAAGAGGGACUUCGAUGUGUCUAUACAAUUCAAGCAUGAUUGUGAUGGACACGCAAUUUGUUUUCCGACAGUGAGUGCUUGCAGUCGCACUGUGACGCUUCCUGUAUUGCACAUGAGCACAAUUCAGCAGUUCAGAAAUAUAAUGGAGAUGGCCUUAACCCACGGAGGCUCCUUUGUUCAUGGUCCACGGAGGCUCCUUGAUUGUGCAUGUUUGGUGAGGGGGAGGGUACUUGAUCAAACCAACUGCCGUCACUUCAAUUACAUGGCUUCCAGGUCUUGAUAUUGCCCAUUUUAUUUUAGACAUAGGCCUACUCUUUACUUUAUUAUCGCUCUAGUUGUAUGUGAAUGUGUUGAACUUAAUCACCACAUAUUGC